UACGAAGGGGGCUAGCGUUGCUCGGAAUUACUGGGCGUAAAGGGCGCGUAGGCGGAUAGUUUAGUCAGAGGUGAAAGCCCAGGGCUCAACCCUGGAAUUGCCUUUGAUACUGGCUAUCUUGAGUUCGGGAGAGGUGAGUGGAACUCCGAGUGUAGAGGUGAAAUUCGUAGAUAUUCGGAAGAACACCAGUGGCGAAGGCGACUCACUGGCCCGAUACUGACGCUGAGGCGCGAAAGCGUGGGGAGCAAGCAGG
rnacentral:rRNA from 1 species